UACGAAGGGGGCUAGCGUUGUUCGGAAUUACUGGGCGUAAAGCGUGCGCAGGCGGCUUCUCAAGUCAGAGGUGAAAGCCUGGAGCUCAACUCCAGAAUUGCCUUUGAAACUGUAUAGCUAGAGUGUCGGAGGGGAUAGCGGAAUUGCUAAUGUAGAGGUGAAAUUCGUAGAUAUUAGCAGGAACACCGGUGGCGAAGGCGGCUAUCUGGACGACAACUGACGCUGAGGCGCGAAAGCGUGGGGAUCAAACAGG
rnacentral:rRNA from 1 species